ACUGAACCCAGCUCCUCCCACACACCAAGACAGACAAGGGCACUGGACAAGCCAGUCCACCAGGGCAGGAGGGGACAGGACAGGACAGUGGGUCCUCUCCUCCAAGCCAAAGCACUCAAGUGACAUUCAAUAAGUGCUACUGGGUGGUGGGAACACAGCCAGAACAAGGAGCCAGCUGAGGGCCCUGGAGGAGGGAUCCGCUGAAGUGGAAGGGGCCUACCCAGAGCAUCACUGGGUAAACUGAUCACAACCAUAUGGAGUUCUUCGUGGCCCUAGAUGUCCUAAACACGCACAUGUGCAUACCUCUGUGCUGUGAAGCUGGUCUCAACUGUUCAUUCUUUACAAGCUGGGCUGCCCUCUCCUCCAUGACCUGGCUCAACCACCACAGGGGCAAGUGGAGAGCUGCGACCCAGAGCCUGAACUAGCACCCCCUUGUACGGAUGGAGCCACGGAGCGGGGAGAGGCCAGGAAGUGAAGGCCGGUCCAGAGCCAACAACAAGCAGAACAAUUUCAUGUGCAAAGACUCAGCGUGCUUGAGGCACGGGCUGGGCUGCCUCUCAGGAACAAGGCCAUUCACCGGGUGCGCUGUGAGCAGGGAGUCCUCAGACAUGGAUCGCCAAGGCCAUGGAGGAGGGCGGACCUGGCUCCCUGCAGGCCACAGAGCUUCACCCAAUGACUUCAGCAGAAGUCCCAUAAUCCACCUCUGGAAAGCCCUGCAUCACCUGCUGCUGUUUGGGUCCAAGAGCUUGAACUGCACCGAGGGACCAGCUCCUCAGGCUCCACCUGGACUUCUUGGCUUCCAGCCUUGCCUUCUCCAGUCCAUUUUCCUAGAGCUGCCAAAAGAUCCUCUCUAAAAAGUAUAUGUGGGGCCUGGCAGAUGACAUGGUGGUUAAGAUGCUGGACUCCCACAUUGCCUACUGUGGUUCAAGUCC